rnacentral:rRNA from 1 species
AGCGAACGCUGGCGGCAGGCCUAACACAUGCAAGUCGAACGAAGCCUUCGGGCUUAGUGGCGGACGGGUGAGUAACACGUGGGAACGUACCUUUUGGUUCGGAACAACUCAGGGAAACUUGAGCUAAUACCGGAUAAGCCCUUUUGGGGAAAGAUUUAUCGCCUUUAGAGCGGCCCGCGUUAGAUUAGCUAGUUGGUGAGGUAAAGGCUCACAAAGGCUCCGAUCUAUAGCUGGUCUGAGAGGAUGAUCAGCCACACUGGGACUGAGACACGGCCCAGACUCCUACGGGAGGCAGCAGUGGGGAAUCUUGCGCAAUGGGCGAAAGCCUGACGCAGCCAUGCCGCGUGAAUGAUGAAGGUCUUAGGAUUGUAAAAUUCUUUUAGCAGGGACGAUAAUGACGGUACCUGCAGAAAAAGCCCCGGCUAACUUCGUGCCAGCCGCCGCCGUAAGAC